CCACCAGGGGAGCCGACCGGAGGAGGCAGAGGUUGUCCCAGUUUUAGGUUGGCAGGUGGGGGAGGAGGCCUGAUUGCAGCUGACUUGAGUACAUCUGUCUUGGGGCCUUUUUAAGCUGGGGCCUACCGAGCAGUCGGCAAUUCCUCUCUCCGACCAGCACAUUGGUCCAACCUCCGCGGCUUUGGUGACCCGGCCUUCUCCACAGCAGCUCCCAGGCUCUGGAACUCACUUCCCCAAAUCACUAGAGACUCAGAAUCCCUCCCACUCCCGUCUCAAGAGACACCUUUUCUCCAUUGCCUUCUCGUGCCCCCCCCCCCCCCGUCCU